AACUAUGCAGUUUCGAAUAAUAGUGCAUACGUAUUAAGAUUGUUGAUUAUCAGUUGAUCCCACUGUUGUAGGAGAGCAUUGGUGGCAGUCAGCUAGGCUCUGCAAAUCAAGUGGGAACUAUAAACUUUCACUUGCAACAGUUGCUGAUUCGGGCAAAAUCGGGUACAUGCUGAUCUGUCUGAAUUUGAGACAAGUGCAAAAAGAUUAGAAAUAAAGUGGGAAAGGAAAGCAAAUCACUUCUACACACAAAAAGACAUUGAUCAGGUCCGGGCCGAGUGGGCAAAGUAUGUCAGCCAAUUUAAACAAAGCUAGUGCGUCGAGAAGAUUCUAAUUUUUGACAUGCAUCAUCUAUAACCCAUAUUAACUAGUUAUGCAGUUGGUCUAAGUAUCUAUUUUAGGCCUGCAAGUACAGUUUAUGAUCAGUAGUAUGAGAUAUCAGUGUUUUUUGGGUUACAUUUGUUGAUCAUGCCAACUGCUAUGGGUUAUUGAACUGAUGUUUAUUAAGUUUAGCUCCAUGAUGGAUGUAUGUAUAGCUGCAGGAACAGAUUGAUCAAAUAUUGGUAUUUUUGUGAAUGGAUUUCAUAUUU